rnacentral:rRNA from 1 species
AAGGGCGUACGGUGGAUGCCUAGGCUCUUACAGGCGAUGAAGGACGUGAUAAGCUGCGAUAAGCUGUGGGUAGGUGCAAAUAACCAUUGAUCCGCAGAUUUCCGAAUGGGACAACCCAGCAGGUUGAAGACCUGUUAUCCUGCAAAUGCGGGAGGCUAACGGGGGGAACUGAAACAUCUUAGUACCCCUAGGAAAAGAAAAUAAUAAUGAUUCCCCUAGUAGUGGCGAGCGAACGGGGAAGAGCCCAAACCAUAUAGAUUUCGGUCUAUAUGGGGUUGUAGGACCACGACGUUGCAAGAAGUACGAUUAGAGGAACGCUUUGGAAAGAGCGACCAUAGAGAGUGACAGUCUCGUACUCGACAAUCGUAUGAAGCAUAGUGGUAUCCUGAGUAGGGCGGGACACGUGAAAUCCUGUCUGAAUCCGGCGGGCCCAUCCGCCAAGGCUAAAUACUCGUAAGAGACCGAUAGCGAACCAGUACCGUGAGGGAAAGGUGAAAAGCACCUCUUUUAGAGGAGUGAAAAAGUUCCUGAAACCGUACGCCUACAAGCGGUCGGAGCACCUUAUGGUGUGACGGCGUGCCUUUUGCAUAAUGAACCUACGAGUUACCGUCGUCGGCAAGGUUAAGUGCUAUGAAGCACGUAAGCCGAAGCGAAAGCGAGUCUGAAUAGGGCGCAUAGUCGGCGGUGGUAGACGCGAAACCAAGUGAUCUACCCUUGUCCAGGUUGAAGUCCCGGUAACACGGGAUGGAGGACCGAACCAAUAAGCGUUGAAAAGCUUCUGGAUGAGGUGAGGGUAGGAGUGAAAGGCCAAUCAAACUUGGAGAUAGCUCGUACUCCCCGAAAUGCAUUUAGGUGCAGCCUCGGGCGUUCCCUGUGUGAGGUAGAGCGACUGAUUGGAUGCGAGGGCUUCACCGCCUAUCAAGUCCAGACAAACUCCGAAUGCACACAGGCUAAGCCCGGGAGUGAGGGCGUGGGUGCUAAGGUCCACGCCCGAGAGGAGAAGAAUCCUGACCACCGGCUAAGGCCCCGAAAUAUAGGCUAAGUUAAACUAACGAAGUGUGGUCCCCGUGACAGCUAGGAUGUUGGCUUGGAAGCAGCCAUUCAUUCAAAGAGUGCGUAACAGCUCACUAGUCGAGGGACCGUGCAUGGAUAAUAAUCGGGUAUUAAGCCCGGUGCCGAAGCCGUGGGAUGUCUUGAUGACAUCGGUAGGGGAGCAUUCAUGCGGCCUUGAAGCUCGAGGGACAACCUCGGGUGGAGCUUCAUGAAAAGCAAAUGUAGGUAUAAGUAACGAUAAAGAGUGUGAGAUGCACUCUCGCCGAAAGACUAAGGUUUCCAGGGCAACGUUAAUCGGCCCUGGGUCAGUCGGGACCUAAGGUUCAACCUAAUGGUGAUGCCGAUGGCAGAAACGGUUAAUAUUCCGUUACUAUCUUUGUUGGCGAUGUGGAGACGGAGGAGUGACACUUCCGCGAGCUGACGGAAUAGCUCGUUAAAGAUUGUAGGUUAUGAGGAUGGCAGGCAAAUCCACCAUCCGAGCUGAAAGUCGAUAGUAUACAGCGUCUUCGGACAAUGUAAUAGUGAAGGUAAUCCUACUCCCGAGAAAAUCCGCUAAGCUUAACAGCAAAGAUACCCGUACCGUAAACGGACACACGUAGUCGGGUAGAAUAUACUAAGGCGCUUGGAAGAUUCAUGGUUAAGGAACUAGGCAAAUUGACCCCGUAACUUCGGAAUAAGGGGUCCUCACAGCAAUGUGAGGCGCAGAGAAUCGGCCCAGGCAACUGUUUAACAAAAACACAGGGCUGUGCAAAAUCGAAAGAUGCAGUAUACAGUCUGACACCUGCCCGGUGCUGGAAGGUUAAGAGGAGAGCUUAGACUCCGGUCGAAGGUUUGAAUUGAAGCCCCAGUAAACGGCGGCCGUAACUAUAACGGUCCUAAGGUAGCGAAAUUCCUUGUCGGGUAAGUUCCGACCUGCACGAAUGGUGUAAUGAUCUGGACGCUGUCUCAACCAUGAGCUCAGUGAAAUUGUAGUAUCGGUGAAGAUGCCGAUUACCCGCGAUGGGACGAAAAGACCCCGUGAACCUUUACUAUAGCUUAACGUUGUAAUUGGGCAGUCGAUGUGUAGGAUAGGUCGGAGGCUAUGAAGCAGGCACGCCAGUGUUUGUGGAGCCGCUGUUGAAAUACGACCCUUUGGCUGUCUGGUUCCUAACUCUCGGAUGAGAGGACCGCGUUUGGUGGGUAGUUUGACUGGGGUGGUCGCCUCCAAAAGCGUAACGGAGGCUUC